rnacentral:lncRNA from 1 species
AUUUCCAAAACAAAUGAUUCAAUCCUAAAUGAUCACAUUGCCAGCAUUAUUAAGAGAUUAUUUAGAAUCUUAAAGUCCUACAACUUAAAAGCUAACUUCUGUUGAUUUUACCCAGAUUUUCUAGAAAAUCACAGAUAUUCUAUCAAAAAAACCUGCUUGCCUCUCUUGCAGGUAGACUUUCUCCACCUAUAUCUGCUCAACUUGUAAUAUG